GUAUUUGUUUUAAAGGCUCAAAGGCCUAUUAAAUGACAUUCUAUUACAUUCUAUUGGGGUAUAUAUAAAACAUAAACCUGAAAUGCAAGGAAAGCUGGCUUUCGCACAGCAAUCCUCAAACUGAGUUUCCUCAAAAGGUAUUCCAGAUCUACAAAAAGUGCACAGGUGGUUAAAAACAUUGUCAGGUGUGCACAUGUCCCAAAGAACCAGCAACAACCUAACUAAGUUUAUUCAAUAAUGAUCCUUCCGCAGGUUCACCUACGGAAA
rnacentral:misc_RNA from 1 species